rnacentral:rRNA from 1 species
GAUGAACGCUGGCGGCGUGCCUAAUACAUGCAAGUCGAGCGAACAGACGAGGAGCUUGCUCCUCUGACGUUAGCGGCGGACGGGUGAGUAACACGUGGAUAACCUACCUAUAAGACUGGGAUAACUUCGGGAAACCGGAGCUCAUACCGGAUAAUAUAUUGAACCGCAUGGUUCAAUAGUGAAAGACGGUUUUGCUGUCACUUAUAGAUGGAUCCGCGCCGCAUUAGCUAGUUGGUAAGGUAACGGCUUACCAAGGCAACGAUGCGUAGCCGACCUGAGAGGGUGAUCGGCCACACUGGAACUGAGACACGGUCCAGACUCCUACGGGAGGCAGCAGUAGGGAAUCUUCCGCAAAGGGCGAAAGCCUGACGGAGCAACGCCGCGUGAGUGAUGAAGGUCUUCGGAUCGUAAAACUCUGUUAUUAGGGAAGAACAAAUGUGUAAGUAACUAUGCACGUCUUGACGGUACCUAAUCAGAAAGCCACGGCUAACUACGUG